CGGCGCUUGAGGCUUUCUGCCUCAUGACGUGAAGGUGGUUUGUUACAGUGUUGUGUGGCAGAAGGACAAAAGCCCCGUAGUUAAUUUUUCAUUAACCCACGAGGCCUCUGCAUGUCUAGUCCACGUCAGUAUGGCCUCUUACCGUGCAAAUUGCAAGGAGGAGUAAACCAUG
rnacentral:antisense_RNA from 1 species